UUGCUUUGGCAGUACAUAUACUGAAAUUGGAAUGCUACAGAGAAGAUCAGCAUGACCCCUGUGCAAGCAGUUUUAAAUCUAGAGACAGUUUCUCAACCAUUUU
rfam:Erinaceus europaeus unplaced genomic scaffold scaffold00015, whole genome shotgun sequence